GGAUGAUAACUUUAGGAUACAAACAAGAACAGAAAGAGCAUACUGAGAUUUGUGAGAAAUUAUUAAGGUGGGAAGAUAUCCAAGACAGCAAUUUUCAAGGAAAUUUUUAAAAAGACGUUAAAAGAAUCAUCAACCAUAAUGUGAAGUCAAAAGAACGUGAAUUAAGAAAAAAAAAAAAUCCUUGAUUUGGAGCUCCAGAGGCCAUUUGUACAUAGGAAAGAAAUUUCAGGUAGAGUAUUUGACGUAAAAUUGCAGUUUUAGAAAAUGAGACAACCUCUACCUGUAGAACUUUCUCUGAAUAGUCUAGAAAGC
rnacentral:lncRNA from 1 species